UCCUACGGGAGGCAGCAGUAGGGAAUCUUCCGCAAUGGACGAAAGUCUGACGGAGCAACGCCGCGUGAGCGAUGAAGGCCUUCGGGUCGUAAAGCUCUGUUGUCAGGGAAGAACAAGUACCGGAGUAACUGCCGGUACCUUGACGGUACCUGACCAGAAAGCCACGGCUAACUACGUGCCAGCAGCCGCGGUAAUACGUAGGUGGCAAGCGUUGUCCGGAAUUAUUGGGCGUAAAGCGCGCGCAGGCGGUUCCUUAAGUCUGAUGUGAAAGCCCCCGGCUCAACCGGGGAGGGUCAUUGGAAACUGGGGAACUUGAGUGCAGAAGAGGAGAGCGGAAUUCCACGUGUAGCGGUGAAAUGCGUAGAGAUGUGGAGGAACACCACUGGCGAAGGCGGCUCUCUGGUCUGUAACUGACGCUGAGGCGCGAAAGCGUGGGGAGCGAACAGGAUUAGAUACCCUGGUAGUCCACGCCGUAAACGAUGAGUGCUAAGUGUUAGAGGGUUUCCGCCCUUUUNUGCUGCAGCAAACGCAUUAAGCACUCCGC
rnacentral:rRNA from 1 species